rnacentral:sRNA from 12 species
CCUAUGGAGAGUACUAGGACCUGUGAGUAGUAUCUUUGAUACAAAAGCAUACUCGAUGAAGUAGGAA